ACACAACAUGGUGUCAAGCAGUGCAUAGUUAAACAUUACUCCAAAUAUAAAUAAUAACAAUGAAUAAAUAUCAGUGCAACAAUAACAAGCACAGCAAUAACA